GACGUAGGGCGCGAGCGUUGUCCGGAUUUAUUGGGCGUAAAGAGCUCGUAGGCGGCUUGUCGCGUCGACUGUGAAAACCCGAGGCUCAACUUCGGGCUUGCAGUCGAUACGGGCAGGCUAGAGUUCGGUAGGGGAGACUGGAAUUCCUGGUGUAGCGGUGAAAUGCGCAGAUAUCAGGAGGAACACCGGCGGCGAAGGCGGCACUCUGGGCCGGUACUGACGCUGAGGAGCGAAAGCGUGGGUAGCAAACAGG
rnacentral:rRNA from 1 species